AACGCUGGCGGCGUGCCUAAUACAUGCAAGUCGAGCGGACAGAAGGGAGCUUGCUCCCGGAUGUUAGCGGCGGACGGGUGAGUAACACGUGGGUAACCUGCCUGUAAGACUGGGAUAACUCCGGGAAACCGGAGCUAAUACCGGAUAGUUCCUUGAACCGCAUGGUUCAAGGAUGAAAGACGGAUUUCGGCUGUCACUUACAGAUGGACCCGCGGCGCAUUAGCUAGUUGGUGGGGUAAUGGCUCAACAAGGCGACGAUGCGUAGCCGACCUGAGAGGGUGAUCGGCCACACUGGGACUGAGACACGGCCCAGACUCCUACGGGAGGCAGCAGUAGGGAAUCUUCCGCAAUGGACGAAGGUCUGACGGAGCAACGCCGCGUGAGUGAUGAAGGUUUUCGGAUCGUAAAGCUCUGUUGUUAGGGAAGAACAAAGUGCGAGAGUAAACUGCUCGCACCUUGACGGUACCUAACCAGAAAAGCCACGGCUAACUACGUUGCCAGCAGCCCGCGGUAAUACGUAGGGUGGCAAGCGUUGGUCCGGAAUUAUUUGGGGCGUAAAAGAGGCUUCGAAGGCGGUUUCCUUAAGUUUGAUGGUGAAAACCCCCGGCUCAACCGGGGGAAGGGUCAUUUGGAAACUGGGAAACUUUGACUGCCAAAAAGGAAAUGGAAUUCCACGUGUACGCUGAAUGCCUGAAAAAUUUGGAGACCCCAGUGGCGAAGCCGACUCUCUGGUCUGUAACUGACGCUGAGGCGCGAAAGCGUGGGGAGCGAACAGGAUUAGAUACCCUGGUAGUCCACGCCGUAAACGAUGAGUGCUAAGUGUUAGGGGGUUUCCGCCCCUUAGUGCUGCAGCUAACGCAUUAAGCACUCCGCCUGGGGAGUACGGUCGCAAGACUGAAACUCAAAGGAAUUGACGGGGGCCCGCACAAGCGGUGGAGCAUGUGGUUUAAUUCGAAGCAACGCGAAGAACCUUACCAGGUCUUGACAUCCUCUGACAACCCUAGAGAUAGGGCUUUCCCUUCGGGGGACAGAGUGACAGGUGGUGCAUGGUUGUCGUCAGCUCGUGUCGUGAGAUGUUGGGUUAAGUCCCGCAACGAGCGCAACCCUUGAUCUUAGUUGCCAGCAUUCAGUUGGGCACUCUAAGGUGACUGCCGGUGACAAACCGGAGGAAGGUGGGGAUGACGUCAAAUCAUCAUGCCCCUUAUGACCUGGGCUACACACGUGCUACAAUGGACAGAACAAAGGGCUGCAAGACCGCAAGGUUUAGCCAAUCCCAUAAAUCUGUUCUCAGUUCGGAUCGCAGUCUGCAACUCGACUGCGUGAAGCUGGAAUCGCUAGUAAUCGCGGAUCAGCAUGCCGCGGUGAAUACGUUCCCGGGCCUUGUACACACCGCCCGUCACACCACGAGAGUUUGCAACACCCGAAGUCGGUGAGGUAACC
rnacentral:rRNA from 1 species